AUUGAACGCUGGCGGCAGGCCUAACACAUGCAAGUCGAGCGAGCGGCGGACGGGUGAGUAAUGUAUGGGGAUCUGCCCGAUAGAGGGGGAUAACUACUGGAAACGGUAGCUAAUACCGCAUACCAUCGGAUGUGCCCAGAUGGGAUUAGCUAGUAGGUGGGGUAAAGGCUCACCUAGGCGACGAUCCCUAGCUGGUCUGAGAGGAUGACCAGCCACACUUGAACGGAGAGACGGUCCAGACUCCUACGGGAGGCAGCAGUGGGGAAUAUUGCACAAUGGGCGCAAGCCUGAUGCAGCCAUGCCGCGUGUAUGAAGAAGGCCUUCGGGGUGUAAAGUACUUUCAGCGGGGAGGCGUUACCCGCAGGAGAAGCACCUGCUAACUCCGCGCCAGCAGCCGCGGUAAUUC
rnacentral:rRNA from 1 species